UACGGAGGGUGCGAGCGUUGUUCGGAAUCACUGGGCGUAAAGCGCGUGUAGGCGGCCCAUUAAGUCUGAUGUGAAAGCCCGGGGCUCACCCCCCGGAAGUGCAUUGGAAACUGAUGGACUCGAGUCCCGGAGAGGAGAGUGGAAUUCCUGGUGUAGCGGUGAAAUGCGUAGAUAUCAGGAGGAACACCGGUGGCGAAGGCG
rnacentral:rRNA from 1 species